UGUAUUCAUAACAUGUUUAUUAUAUGUCGAAUUUUUGUUUUGUAAUAUAGAGAGUGAUUUUUCUUUUUUUUUGCUUUUCCCGCAUUUAUGUAAGAGGAUAUGUUAUAAUAGUAUCAUCCACAUCUGUCAGAUUAUUAUACGGAGUUAUCCAUAAAGUACAUUACGCACCUGGAGGCAGCAUAGCGGAAACUGCCCCUGAAAGAGGCUGUCUUGUGCUUUUGUACAACAAGUUGUAUGGAACAUUGUCGCGAUUCACAAGUCCUAUGACUUGACAUCCA
rnacentral:misc_RNA from 1 species